rnacentral:misc_RNA from 1 species
GAUGAAGAACGUAGCGAAAUGCGAUAAGUAAUGUGAAUUGCAGAAUUCAGUGAAUCAUCGAGUCUUUGAACGCACAUUGCGCCCCCUGGUAUUCCGGAGGGCAUGUCUGUCCGAGCGUCAUUAGUCCAAUCUCAAGCCCGGCUUGUCGUUGGGUCGCACCGCCCGGGGCGGUGGACCCGAAAUAUAAUGACGGGGUCUAGCGGACCGUGGGCGCAGCGAGCUUUUACAGCACGCGUCCCGGCGUCAUCUAGACGCGUCUCCAACCAUACUCUCUGUAGGUUGACCUCGGAUCAGACAGGAUUACCCGCUGAACUUAAGCAUAUCAAUAAGCGGAGGA